AUUGAACGCUGGCGGCAGGCCUAACACAUGCAAGUCGAACGAGUGGCGGACGGGUGAGUAAUGUCUGGGAAACUGCCUGAUGGAGGGGGAUAACUACUGGAAACGGUAGCUAAUACCGCAUACCAUCGGAUGUGCCCAGAUGGGAUUAGCUUGUAGGUGAGGUAACGGAUCACCUAGGCGACGAUCCCUAGCUGGUCUGAGAGGAUGACAAGCACAACUGGAACUGAGACACGUGCCAGACUCCUAGGUGUGGCAUCAGUGGGGAAUAUUGAAAAAUGGUCGCAAGCCUGAUGCAGCCAGGCCGCGUGUAUGAAGAAGGCCUUCGGGUUGUAAAGUACUUUCAGCGGGGAGGCUUUACCCGCAGAAUAAGCACCGGCUAACUCCGUGCCAGCAGCCGCGGUAAUUC
rnacentral:rRNA from 1 species